rnacentral:misc_RNA from 1 species
CUUGUGCGUGAAUGGUCACUUGUAGCUUGUUCUUGCCGUGAGCUUGAGUGGGAGGCGGCCAUUGGAUCCUUGAGCUGGGUUGGUUGCCGUGGGACUCUUGCUUGUCACUUGUCAUUGCCGUGAGGUAAGUUUACUUGCUUGGUGUUGCUUGCCUUGUGUUGAUGCGGCUGCCCAUUGUGGUUAUUGUGUUGUUAAUGCACAUGGUAUUGGGUUGAUGGGUGUUGUGGCUUGAUCAUGCGCAUUGUUGGUUGAAGAGUUGUCUUGCGUGACUUGAGGUAACUUAUUACUUGCUUGUUACUUCGGAUGCUUGCUAUUUGUUAUUGAGCUUGCGUGGGAUUCUUGCUUGCCUUGUGGUGCCGCUUGGUUGGUUGAAGCACAUUGGUGUUGAAGCUUACUUGCGUGGAACUUUUGUUGCCACCUUGAUUGCCUUGCCGAGGUUAGUUACUUGUAGUAACUUGUUCUUGCGUGAAUAUCUUGUUGCUUGUGGGUUUGUUGAGUUUCGGCCAUUUGUUAUCCUUGUUGUGGAUUGUUGUUGCCGUGGGACACUUGUGAGUUUGGGGUUGUUCAACUUAGUUGCCGUAGGCACCAUUGUUACUUGUGAUUGUUGUUUCGGCUAUUGUUAAGGUUGAGUGUGUAAACUCAUUGCCGUGAGGUUCCUUGAGGUUCAUUGUGACUUUGGGUGACUUGGGGACGUGAGGAUCCUUGAGUUGGAGUGACUUGCGUGGCUCUUGGGUGUGGAGUUGUGCCGUGUGAACCUCUUGGUGUUGGGAACUAUUGCCGUGAACUUGGGUGACUUGGUGUUUGGAGUGACUUGCUGCCGUAGGGUUCCUUUGUGUUUGGGAUUGGUUGCCGUGAGUUGGUGAUAAACUUGGUAGCCGUGUGGGAUCCUAGGGACCAAGGAGUGAGGCUGACUUGCUUUGGUGAGUGCAAGUGCCGCACGGGGUGCAGUUUUUGGAUUGAAAAAAAUUGUCCUGUGACAGUUGGUAUCAGAGCCUUUGGCUUGAGGUGUGUCUCGGCAAAAAUGGCUGA